AUACUCUGGUUUCUCUUCAGAGAGAAUAAAUCUUUCGCCUUUUACUAAAGAUUUCCGUAGAGAGAAACAACCAUGAGUUUCAUAUAAUUUUCUCUAUCGUCCUUGUGGAUGCU